AUGGGUCAGGUGGUACCUGGUCGGCGCGGUUUCCCAAGCCGACGCUGCUCGAUGACCCCAUCUGUUCUUAUCCAUUUGUUCACCACCCAUUCGUCCCGUCCAGCCAUAGCGCUCGCCGCCCUCGAGAGCUUCUUCCACGCCGUCUUGCCCGAGGCCGUCGGUGCCGUCGUCGACUGCGUGCUCGCCUCCUUCCCCUCCUCCACCCCGCUCUCCGAGCUCUUCUGCUCCCUCCGCCGCUCUUUCCCCAAGGCACUGCUCCCCGACCACUGUGCGCGACGACGGCCACGGCCAUGUUGCCGCCUUCUGCCAUUUGCUCCCCCGCCUCGGCUACCCCAAGGACGCCCUGUGCGCGCUGGUCGUGAGGGCCUCCCCGCCGCUCCUGAUGCCCAGCCUAGCCGGCUCUAGCAACAGGCGGCAUGUCACUGGCCCAAGCAUGCACCAUCUUCUCGAUUGAUAGAAGAUUCUCAUCGCUGUUUUUGUGUAUGUAGCUGCUACUACGAGCUGUGUAGAUUCUGAUGGAUGAAGUGCAUGGCUACUUUGGUCGCGGUGCCACUGAAUUUUCAUCCAAAGUUGGACACUCUCCAGCAUAGUUGCACACACUCUCCAGCAUAGUAAUGGAUUUUAUCCAAAGUUGGACACUCUUCAGCAUAGUUGCACACACUCUCCAGCAUAGUAAUGGAUGUAAUCAGGGGUGUCUUAUAUUCAGCUACUUUGUACUCAAUUGACAUGUAAUGUAGUCUAGUUGCACACACAUUUAUGUUUAGUUGGCUUAUAAUGUAGUCUAGUUCCACACACAUUGAUAUUUAGUUGGUAAAAAAACUAGUUGCACACACAUAUGCUCAGUUGGCUUGUAAUGUAUUCUACUUGCACACACAUUGUUUAGUUGGCUUGUAAUGUAGUCUAGUUGCAC
rnacentral:rRNA from 1 species